GAUGAACGCUGGCGGCGUGCCUAAUACAUGCAAGUCGAGCGAACAGACGAGGAGCUUGCUCCUCUGACGUUAGCGGCGGACGGGUGAGUAACACGUGGAUAACCUACCUAUAAGACUGGGAUAACUUCGGGAAACCGGAGCUAAUACCGGAUAAUAUAUUGAACCGCAUGGUUCAAUAGUGAAAGGCGGUUUUGCUGUCACUUAUAGAUGGAUCCGCGCCGCAUUAGCUAGUUGGUAAGGUAACGGCUUACCAAGGCAACGAUGCGUAGCCGACCUGAGAGGGUGAUCGGCCACACUGGAACUGAGACACGGUCCAGACUCCUACGGGAGGCAGCAGUAGGGAAUCUUCCGCAAUGGGCGAAAGCCUGACGGAGCAACGCCGCGUGAGUGAUGAAGGUCUUCGGAUCGUAAAACUCUGUUAUUAGGGAAGAACAAAUGUGUAAGUAACUAUGCACGUCUUGACGGUACCUAAUCAGAAAGCCACGGCUAACUACGUG
rnacentral:rRNA from 1 species